rnacentral:rRNA from 1 species
GCGCGAAAACUCCACAAUGUGCGAAAGCACGAUGGGGUUACCUCGAGUGCAGUCCGAUAAGGGCUGCUUUUCCAAAGAGUAAUAUCCUGUGGGAAUAAGAGGGGGGCAAGACUGGUGUCAGCCGCCGCGGUAACACCAGCCCCUCGAGUGGUGGGGACUAUUAUUGGGCCUAAAGCGUCCGUAGCUGGCUAUGUAAGUCCCCCGUUAAAUCCGGCGUCCUAAGCGUCGGACUGCGGGUGAUACUACAAAGCUAGAGGGUGGGAUAGGUGAGCGGUAUUUCUGGGGUAGGGGCGAAAUCCUUUGAUCCCAGGAGGACCACCAGUGGCGAAGGCUGCUUACUAGAACACGCCUGACGGUCAGGGACGAAAGCUGGGGCAGCGAACCGGAUUAGAUACCCGGGUAGUCCCAGCUGUAAACGAUGCUAGCUAGGUGUUGGGUCGGCCAUGUGCCGCCCCAGUGCCGCAGGGAAGCCGUUAAGCUAGCCGCCUGGGGAGUACGGCCGCAAGGCUGAAACUUAAAGGAAUUGGCGGGGGAGCAACC